AGGUGGAAUUUGAGGCAAUUCGUGGCCGAUCUUUUUAUUCUGACAUGGCUUUGGAUGACAUCCAUUUCAAGGAAAUGCCCUGUGGUAUACAACACUUGGGAUGUUUUAACGAUCGUUAUAAAAGAGCUUUGCCAGACUUGAUUGCGAAUCUCCGGGAUAAAAUAGACUGGUAUGACAUGCAAAAGACCGUCAGAGAAUGCGCCUGUGUUGCUUAUGACAAAGGAUACAAGUAUUUUGCUGUGCAGUUUUAUGGAGAGUGUUGGGGCGCAAGAAGUAUGAUUGAAUAUGACAAAUAUGGUGCUUCCAACGACUGCUGGUCUGGUGUCGGAAAAGAUUUCACGAAUUAUGUUUACAAAUUCACGAAAUAAGAUACGUU
rnacentral:lncRNA from 1 species